rnacentral:rRNA from 1 species
UACGAAGGGGCUAGCGUUGCUCGGAAUCACUGGGCGUAAAGCGCACGUAGGCGGCUUUCUAAGUCAGGGGUGAAAUCCUGGAGCUCAACUCCAGAACUGCCUUUGAUACUGGAGAGCUUGAGUCCGGGAGAGGUGAGUGGAACUCCGAGUGUAGAGGUGAAAUUCGUAGAUAUUCGGAAGAACACCAGUGGCGAAGGCGGCGCUCUGG